rnacentral:rRNA from 1 species
UACAGAGGGUGCAAGCGUUGCUCGGAAUUACUGGGCGUAAAGGGCUCGUAGGUGGCCAACUAAGUCAGACGUGAAAUCCCUCGGCUUAACCGGGGAACUGCGUCUGAUACUGGAUGGCUUGAGUUCGGGAGAGGGAUGCGGAAUUCCAGGUGUAGCGGUGAAAUGCGUAGAUAUCUGGAGGAACACCAGAGGCGAAGGCGGUUACCUGGACAGUUACUGACGCUCAGGCACGAAAGCAUGGGGAGCAAAAGGG